rnacentral:rRNA from 1 species
AUGAUGGUGUUGACCGAUGGCAAAGGACGGGCGGUAGAUUUCAAGAAUACCAUCAUCAUUAUGACCUCAAAUAUAGGAGCAGAGCACCUCAUGGCAGGAAUGGCUGGAGAAAUCACAAUGGAUGCUGCACGUGACCUUUUGAUGAAACAGGUUCAGAAACACUUCAAGCCUGAGUUCCUGAACAGGCUGAGUGAGAUUGUGGUAUUUGAGCCCCUUUUGCAUGACAACCUGAAGGAGAUUGUGAAAAUCCAAAUGAAGAGUGUGAUUGCGAGGGUGGCUGACAAGGGCAUCUCUCUUUUCGCAAGUGAUGCCGCGUUGGACGUCAUUUUAUCGGAAUCAUACAACCCAAUGUAUGGUGCGAGGCCCAUAAGGAGAUGGUUGGAGAAGAAUGUGGUGACUAAGCUGUCCCUGAUGCUGAUGAAAGGUGAAGCCAGUGAAGGCUCGACGAUCUCCAUCGACGCCACAGACGACAAGAAGAAGCUCAAGUAUGAAGUAGUAGCGAAGAAGGUCGAACUUCCCGGUGAGUGUGACACUGACAGCGGUCGUAUGGCGGCUGUGGUCAGUCCCAUGAAAAGAAUUGUGUCUCUGUUAGCGACCCUGACAGUAAAGCAUCCUCACGAGCCUGCGUUCAAGCCCUUGUAA